rnacentral:rRNA from 1 species
GACGAACGCUGGCGGCGUGCUUAACACAUGCAAGUCGAACGGUGAACCGGGCUUCGGCCCGGGGAUCAGUGGCGAACGGGUGCGUAACACGUGGGCAACCUGCCCCAGACUCUGGGAUAACUCCGGGAAACCGGGGCUAAUACCGGAUACUCCGCUCGGACGACAUCGUCUGAUCGGGAAAGCUCCGACGGUCUGGGAUGGGCCCGCGGCCUAUCAGCUUGUUGGCGAGGUAACGGCUCACCAAGGCGACGACGGGUAGCUGGUCUGAGAGGACGACCAGCCACACUGGAACUGAGAUACGGUCCAGAUUCCUACGGGAGGCAGCAGUGGGGAACCUUGCACAAUGGGCGGAAGCCUGAUGCAGCGACGCCGCGUGGGGACGAAGGCUUUCGAGUUGUAACCCUUUCGACAGGGAAGAAGCGCAAGUGACGGUACCUGUAGAAGAAGCUCCGGCUAACUACGUG